AACGUAGGACGCAAGCGUUAUCCGGAGUUACUGGGCGUAAAGGGCAGGCAGGCGGGUCGAUAAGUCGGACGUGAAAUCUCCCUGGCUUAACCGGGAGAGUGCAUUUGAGACUGUCAACCUGGAGGGCAGCAGAGGAGCGUGGAAUUCCGGGUGGAGUGGUGAAAUGCGUAGAGAUCCGGAGGAACACCAGAGGCGAAAGCGGCGCUCUGGGCUGCACCUGACGCUGAACUGCGAAAGCCAGGGGAGCGAACGGG
rnacentral:rRNA from 1 species